ensembl:lncRNA
GAUCAGACUCUUGUCUUGGCUUCCUUCUUCACAUCCUUUGUCCCCUAUUCUCUUCCAGGUACACCCCUGGACCAGUCGUUUACAAAUGGCGCCCAGUGUGUGGCUGUUUGGAGGUCUUCUGGAGGAGAAUGUCAUCCCCAGUGAAUAGGCAGGCCUGUCUUUCUUGUUUCUCAGAGCCUUUGCUCCCCCUCAGAGCUUUUGCUCCUCCUUGGAGCCUUUGCUUCCCCGCUUCUGGCAACCAUGGACUACCCGACCUUGGUUCAGAGGCUUGGUGUAUGUUUCUCUACGGAUGACACAGAUCUCAGUGCGGUCACUUUGUCAAUCUGUGCUCUGUGGGUGGCGCUCCUGAGGUAGGGCCACUAUGGGGUCUUACAACAUUUUGGUGCACCUGCCAGGAACUGUGUUCCCCCAGACUACAAUUGUUGAGGAUUUUGGAGUUCUUACUGGAAGCCUAGUGAUGUUUGGAGACUGGAUCUCUUGAGAGGCAGAGCCACCGAGCUGACACUGAAGGGAGGUACUCCUUAAGCAAAAUCUAAGUCCAGAGAGACAGCUGGUAACAGACUCCGGCUGUCCCUCUGCUCACCUUUCUGUUUCACAGGCACAAAGCUUGCGUUUUUAUUUGCAAUGGCCUUUUCAUUCCAAGAAAGCUGCCUCGUUUGUUUAGCUGUGUGACUGAAUGCCAUUUGUCACCUGAUCUGGUUGUUCCACCAGCUCUCUCCAGGUCACCCUCUAGCUUUCUUGCCUGGCCCCAUUCUCCUGUUCUUAAGAAUUUUAUCACCUAAUACACUGCAUUGUUUGACUUAUAAUAUCUCCCAUACUACUAAUAUACAUGUCCCAGAUUCCCGUUGUGAAGGUUCUAAUUCUAAAACAAGGGAAUGGUUCAUCCCCCUAAAUAUUAAAUUUACCUCCACGGUUUGAAACCUGGAUUGGACACGUGGAUAUACUUGGGGUCUUAGAAUGUUUCAAUCAGGUGCUAAUACAGGGAUUGUAUUUACCAUAAAAUUGUUAAAAGAGCCUGUACAUUCCUACUCCUUGGCUUCUGGACACUGAUCCAAAGAAGAAGCCCAGGGAGGCACUGAACAUGGCACAAGGUACACGCGACUUCAUCUACAGCCUGCACUUCACUGAGAGGAGCUGCUUGCUCAAAGAAGUGCAACACUUCGAGAACAUUGCCAUCACAGAAUAAAAUUGGAAGUCCUACCACCCCACUCCAGGACAGCUGAGAUAUGUAUUCUUCUACAAUGUGAUACCUUUUGUAGGGUUGACUUUUUGGAUAAUGCAAUUAUGAUUGUUACAUGAAACCAAACUGAAUUGUCUAUUGGAAUUAUUUUGUGAAUGUCAACAAUGGCAGUCAACAUGUUAUUUUUCCUUCUAUGUAUCAACAUAUUAUUUAACUUUCAGUUAUUGAUACUUUACUAUACUGAGUUUUGGUUUGCUUUUUUCUGACAUAACAUGCAUGGGAUAACUAUUAAUGUCUUUAUUUUUUCCUUGAUGGUUAUAAUUCAAUGCUGAGGUUUUUCCAAAUUAUUUAAAAUGUUUAAUAUCAGUUAAAAUUGUAAUUCUCUGCCUGGUGGCAUCCUUUCUGUGAUAUUUUAUGAAAUUCUGGUUUGUGAGAGAAAGUCAGUGCUUAGAUAUUUCCUGUGUCUUAGAAUAUGGUUAAAGAAAACAUGAAACAAGUCAGAAAAGGCUUGGAAAAGAGAAAAUGAGAAAGAGAAAAACCUGAGAACUGGUAUCAAAAUUGGUCUCUGUUGGGUCCCCUAGUAGGCCUUCUUUUGCUUGUAUCUUUUGGCCCUUGGACAUUUAAUUGUUUAACCAUCUUUGUUAAACAACACGUAGAUAAUAUAGCAGCAAAACUUAUUCAGGUAUAUUGUCAUAGACUAGCUAUGGAGGAUGCUUUGAUGAUGGCCAAGCUCACCUACACAUCUCCUCCCAGCCCAGGCAAGGACAUUUUUUGUUCUUCAGCCAAAUGAGGCCAACAUUCUUUUCUGCCUGCUGUCCUGAUGCCUUUGCUGAAAAAUCAACAAAUUGUCACCCCUGCGUGCUGAGCUGGACAGUCAAUGAUGGGUAAGAGAGUGAUAUAUUCACGAAUAAAGGGCCGAAGACAGAAGGCCCACCAUUAGCUGCUGCCUUAUCCCAUGACGGAUCCUGGCCCAAGAUUCUCUUGGCCAUGUGACAAAUACCACUCCAACCUAAGACAGACACAGUUCCCGAGGGGCUCAUUCCAGGACAUCACGGCCAUUUGGCCACCUUUUCAUUUGAGUAUAAGGAACGGGGAGAUGUUGGGAGCAAUGCCCUUGAAGCCAUCCAUUGUUGACGUUAUUAUUAUGGUUAGAAUUAAGUAUGACUGGGUUCUUGGAAAAUCUCCAGCCAGCUGCAGAAGACUAAUACAAAUCUGGUGGUCAAAAUUAAUAAUAAUAUGAUAACAUUUGACAUGUUAAGAUACCCAAUGUGAUGACCUGUAAAGUUUCUGAAACACCAACAUCCUGCUGACUAAUAGAUAUGAGAAACCUGUGACCUUUCUGACAACCUGUCAACAUCAGCCUACUCCCCGACCACACGAAUAUUGUGUCCUUGGCCUGCAUAAAUGUUUCUUACUUUCCCCCUCCAUCUGUUACCCAUGUUAUGGUAUAAAUUCAGCCCUGGGGAAAAAUAAAAUUGUCACCUUGAUCAGA